AAGAAACCAUCCUGGAUUUGUAAGAAUAUUCCCUGCCUCUCACCUCAUGCCUUCUUCUUCUUCUUUUUUUUCUUUUUCUUGAGAUGGAGUCUCACUUUGUCACCCAGGCUGGAGUGCAGUGGCGAUCAAUCUUGGCUCACUGUAGCCUCCACCUCCCAGGCUCAAGCAAUCAUCCCACCUCAGCCUCCUGAGUAGCUGGGACCACAGGCGCGCACCACCACACCUGGCUAAUGUUUUGCACUUUUGGUAGAGACAGUAUUUCCUCAUGUUGCCCAGACUGGUCUGGAACUCCUGGCCUAUAGUGAUCUGCCUUCCUUGGCUUCCCAAAGUGCUGGGAUUACAGGCAUGAGUCACCAUGUCCGGCCACACUUCUUGUCUUCUGUUUAAUGCUGAAUGUUAUAGCAAAGGCUAAGAAAAUGUAUUUCAUGGCCCUUGGUUCAAAAUUUCAGGAAGCUCAGAUCCUAAGAUAGCAGAGAGGAAGGAGACCUGAAACAUUUUCAAAAGUCAAAUAACUAUCAUACUCAGUCUAUUCAAAUGAGUAAUCAAAUUUCCCUAUCAAAACAAGGCUAAGGGUUUUUUUCCUCCCUGUACGGAAAUAGGUUUUCAAAGGUAACAGAAAAGUUUGCAGAGUUAUGUUUAAGUGUUUGUGUCUGCAAUCACAGUUUUUCUUUUUUGUUUUUGGAGACAGGGUCUCACUCUGUUGACCAGGGUGAGGAGUGUAGUGGCAUGAUCAUAGUUCACUGCAACCUCUGCCUCCCUCCCAGACUCAAGCAAUCCUCUGGCCUCAGCCUCACCAAGUAGCUAGGACUACAGAUUCAUGACUUCAAUUGAGAGAUGAGUUUCAAGCCACCUUUCAAGGAAUCCUGGGUAGAAUGAAAUCUGUUCCAUGGAAUCUUAAGAAGAAGAAGAAAAAAAAUCAAGAUCCCUGUGGGCAAAGUCAUUUGCUGUCAUGCUUGGAAGGAGUAGAACCAAGUGUUUAUGAGCAUGGACUUUGGAGUCAGGAUACUCUCCUGAUAUACCACGAUGCAGAAUGUCAAGUAGGAAAAGAAGCUGUUGCAUUGGGCAAUUAAGAAGUCAUUGGUGAGAGAAGUUUCAGUCUGAAGUGGAAUCAUAGUAAAUUACAGAAAAAUAGUCUUUGGAGAGAGAAGGAAUCUGGUUAAUCCACAGGCCACACAAUCAUGGUUGAAAAUUAGUGAAUGAGCGAAUGAUGGAUCCAUCUCUUGAAGCAAUACUUGAAUCGCAGAAUUCUUAUAUUGAUAGAAGCAGAAGGAAACCAGAAGUGCUCCAAUUAAAGGCCUCCAUUUUUCAGAUCAGCAGACUAUGAGCCAUGCAUAGGAUCACACACAGGUGUGGUAGAGCAGGGACCAUGACUCUUGGUCCUGUGUUAUUUCCGUUUCUGCGUGCCAAUGCCUACUCUAUGGCUGCUGGAGAGGGAGGAGGUUGGGGAAGGUGGAAACACCUGGAGUGGAAAAGAGAAGUGCUGGGAACAGAGGACACUAGUGCCUUCAGCACAUCCCAUCUUCCCAUUGCCACUCAGCUGACCUAUCAGCAAAGGUGGGAGUGAAAGUUACAGGGAUUCUGGGCCAGGUGCAGUGGCUCAUGGCUGUAAUCCCAGCACUUUGAGAGGCCGAGGCGGGCAGAUCACCUGAGGUCAGGAGUUUGAGACCAGCCUGGCCAACAUGGUGAAAUCCCGUCUCUACUAAAAAUACAAAAAUUAGCCGGGCAUGGUGGCACCCGCCUGUAAAUCCGGCUACUUAGGAGGCUAAGGCAGGGGAAUUGCUUGAAUCCAGGAGGUGGAGGUUGCAGUGAGCUGAGAUCAUGCCACUGCACUCCUGCCUGGGCGACAGCAAGACUCCAUCUCAAAAAAAAAAAAAAAAUUACUGGGAUUCUGGAAGGGAGAGGAAUAAAAAUGAUGUGUGGGACAUACCAAAUAGAGUGGGCGGGGCAUCAAGACUUCCCCCCAACUUUCCAUCAUAAAUUUAGAGUGCCUUUUCUUUUUCUGUAGCUCUUUUAAAAAUUAUGAGCCACUCAGCCUCGGCCUCCGGAGGUGCCGGGAUUGCAGACGGUGUCUGGUUCACUCAGUGCUCAAUGGUGCCCAGGCUGGAGUGCAGUGGCGUGAUCUCGGCUCGCUACAACCUCCACCUCCCAGCCGCCUGCCUUGGCCUCCCAAAGUGCCCAGAGUGCAGCCUCUGCCCGGCCGCCACCCCGUCUGGGAAGUGAGGGGCGUCUCUGCCUGGCCGCCCAUCGCUAAUCUCAAGUACCCAGGGACACAAACACUGUGGAAGGCCGCAGGAUCCUCUGCCUAGGAAAACCAGAGACCUUUGUUCACUUGUUUAUC
rnacentral:lncRNA from 1 species